rnacentral:tRNA from 9 species
GCACGCAUAGCUCAGCUGGUUAGAGCGUCGCAUUCACAUUGCGAAGGUCUCUGGUUCGAAUCCAGAUGCGUGCACCA